UACGGAGGGUGCGAGCGUUGUUCGGAAUCACUGGGCGUAAAGCGCGUGUAGGCGGCCUUGUAAGUCUGGGGUGAAAGCCCGGGGCUUACCCCCGGAAGUGCACUGGAAACUGCAAGGCUAGAGUACCGGAGAGGAAGGUGGAAUUCCUGGUGUAGCGGUGAAAUGCGUAGAUAUCAGGAGGAACACCGGUGGCGAAGGCGGCCUACUGGACGGAUACUGACGCUGAGACGCGAAAGCGUGGGGAGCAAACAGG
rnacentral:rRNA from 1 species